AUACGGAGGGGGCUAGCGUUGUUCGGAUUUACUGGGCGUAAAGCGCGCGUAGGCGGGCUGGUUAGUUGGGGGUGAAAUCCCAGGGCUUAACCCUGGAACUGCCCUCAAUACUGCCAGUCUUGAGUUCGAGAGAGGUAAGUGGAAUUCCUAGUGUAGAGGUGAAAUUCGUAGAUAUUAGGAAGAACACCAGUGGCGAAGGCGGCCCUCUGGACGAUGACUGACGCUGAGGUGCGAAAGCGUGGGGAGCAAACAGGAUUAGAAACCCCAGUAGUCC
rnacentral:rRNA from 1 species